CCUACGGGCUGCAGCAGUGAGGAAUAUUGGUCAAUGGGCGCGAGCCUGAACCAGCCAAGUCGCGUGAGGGAUGAAGGUUCUAUGGAUCGUAAACCUCUUUUAUAAGGGAAUAAAGUGUGGGACGUGUCCUAUUUUGUAUGUACCUUAUGAAUAAGGAUCGGCUAACUCCGUGCCAGCAGCAGCGGUAAUACGGAGGAUCCGAGCGUUAUCCGGAUUUAUUGGGUUUAAAGGGUGCGUAGGCGGCCUUUUAAGUAAGCGGUGGAAGUCUGUGGCUCAACCAUAGAAUUGCCGUUGAAACUGGGGGGCGUGAGUAUGUUUGCGGCAGGCGGAAUGCGUGGUGUAGCGGUGAAAUGCUUAGAUAUCACGCAGAACCCCGAUUGCGAAGGCAGCCUGCCAAGCCAUGACUGACGCUGAUGCACGAAAGCGUGGGGAUCAAACAGGAUUAGAUACCCUGGUAGUC
rnacentral:rRNA from 1 species